rnacentral:lncRNA from 1 species
CAUCUAUCUGAUGUCUUCAAGAGACCCAUCUCACAUGUAAUGGCAUCCAUAAGCUCUAAGUAAAGGGUUGGAGAAAAAUCUACCACACACAUGGAAAAUAUAAAAGUGCAGAUUUGUUUUAAAAUGUUAGCUAAAGAACGCACAAUCUAUAUGACUCUCUGGAGUAAAACUCUUAGGGAUUUUCAUUGUUCAAAGUAGAGAUGUAGUUGACAUGAAGGGAUGUCUGCCUAGUUCACAAAAGUAUGACCAUGAAAAUAUCAUUUCUAUGAUACUCCCUCGUUAUGGGUGAUGCUCAGAGAAGAGGGAAUGAGAGAGGUAGCAUUGACUAUUUAAAAUCCGUCCUGAGGUCAGACCCACAAAUGCAUUUUCUGUUAUUUUAUUUCAAUACUGAUAAGUAGGCCUAGAGGUUUUUUUUUCUUGUCCAAUCAGAACAUGUAAUCCAGGAACUGCAUUUGCAUAACCUCUUAUGCUGAGGUCAUGUCAGGUCAUUUCAGGCUCUUCUGUGUCGAGCGGAGGAGCUACUCUGUGCCCAGCUUAGAGGACUGGAAGAGGCCGCAACCUUCCACCUGCUGGAGGUUGGAAGAUGGAUGGAGGCUGGAGGAUGGAUGGAGCCUGGAGCCUGGAGCCUGGGUCACUACCUCGCUACGGUUGGUGGUGGCGAUAGAGCAGUAGGAGGGCGGCGGGCAGCAGGAGCUUCUGCUGGGCUGGAGAACUAGAAGGAAGAGGCACUGCCACAUGCUGGAGGCUGGAACCUGUGCCAUCAUGGCUCGCCUCGCUGUGAUUGUCAGUGAUGUCGGAGACUGCAGCUCAGCCACAGUGGUAGAAAUGUGAUGGGGUAGGUGAGUUUCCGUGCCUGCCCUGUACGCCUCUGGGGGCAAGGGUUGGGUGUCCUAUUGGGGCUCACUGCUAGAGGCUACCCUGCCUGUGGCAGUGGUCUGGUUGGGGGCACUCUCUGGUGUUGCAUUGCUGGCUGUGGGGCAGGUUGGCUGGCUAUCUGGGGCUAUACUGCCCGUGGUGGCAGGGGUGGUGGGGGGAGGCAGAUUGUGUACACUAGCGUGUAUUGCCGGCGGCUGGUGAAGGAUUAGGGGUGCUAUCUUCUGCUGCACUGCCUGCGGCAGGGGGUGGGUUGGGUGGAGUUAUCUGGGGCUACAAUGCUGGCAGUUGGGGGUGGUUUAGGGGCGUUGUUGGGUGCUGCACUGCCUGUGACUGGGGG